CUUGUACUCCCUCCGUCCCAAAUUACUUGUCGCAGAAAUGGAUGUAUCUAGAACUAAAAUACAUCUAGAUACAUCCAUACUUGCGACAAGUAAUUUGGAACGGAGGGAGUAAUAG
rfam:Triticum aestivum genome assembly, contig: Triticum_aestivum_CS42_TGACv1_scaffold_641467_T_5DL-0.197851_2BL-0.113757